UACGGAGGGUGCAAGCGUUAUCCGGAUCCACUGGGUUUAAAGGGUGCGUAGGAGGGCAGGUAAGUCAGUGGUGAAAUCUCCAAGCUUAACUUGGAAACUGCCGUUGAUACUAUCUGUCUUGAAUAUUGUGGAGGUGAGCGGAAUAUGUCAUGUAGCGGUGAAAUGCUUAGAUAUGACAUAGAACACCAAUUGCGAAGGCAGCUCGCUACACAUAUACUGACUCUGAGGCACGAAAGCGUGGGGAUCAAACAGG
rnacentral:rRNA from 1 species